rnacentral:rRNA from 1 species
CCUACGGGUGGCAGCAGUGGGGAAUAUUGCACAAUGGGGGAAACCCUGAUGCAGCGACGCCGCGUGAGUGAAGAAGUAUUUCGGUACGUAAAGCUCUAUCAGCAGGGAAGAAAAUGACGGUACCUGACUACGAAGCCCCGGCUAACUACGUACCAGCAGCCGCGGUAAUACGGAGGGGGCAAGCGUUAUCCGGAUUUACGGGGUGGAAAGGGGGCGUUGGCGGGAGUGCAAGUCUGGAGUGAAAUCCCAUGGGUUAACCAUGGAACUGCUUUGGAAACUGUGGAGCUGGAGUGCAGGAGAGGUAAGCGGAAUUCCUAGUGUAGCGGUGAAAUGCGUAGAUAUUAGGAGGAACACCAGUGGCGAAGGCGGCUUACCGGACUGUAACUGACGUUGAGGCUCGAAAGCGUGGGGAGCAAACAGGAUUAGAUACCCUUGUAGUC